CCUACGGGAGGCAGCAGUGGGGAAUAUUGCACAAUGGGGGAAACCCUGAUGCAGCGACGCCGCGUGAGUGAAGAAGUAUUUCGGUACGUAAAGCUCUAUCAGCAGGGAAGAAAAAAAGUCCUUUGGACUUUGGACGGUACCUGACCAAGAAGCCCCGGCUAACUACGUGCCAGCAGCCGAGGUAAUACGUAGGGUGCAAGCGUUAUCCGGAUUUAAUGGGUGUAAAGGGAGCGUAGACGGCAGCGCAAGUCUGGAGGGAAAUGCCGGGGCCCAACCCCGGAACUGCUUUGGAAACUGUGCAGCCGGAGUGCAGGGGAGGUAAGCGGAAUUCCUAGUGUAGCGGUGAAAUGCGGAGAUAUUAGGAGGAACACCAGUGGCGAAGGUGGCUUACUGGACUGUAACUGACGUUGAGGCUCGAAAGCGUGGGGAGCAAACAGGAUUAGAUACCCCUGUAGUC
rnacentral:rRNA from 1 species